GGAAAGAGGACAAUUUUUUGAAGAGAAAUGGGAACACCUUUGGUCUGGAGUAUGACCUGGAAUCAAUUUUGCAUUAUGGAAACAAUUAUUUCUCUCGCAAUGGAAAACCCACAAUUCAGCCCAAAGACAGCGGUGUAAUUAUUGGCCAGAGGACUCACUUGUCUGAUCUGGAUGUGCAAAGGAUCAGGAAGCUGUACCACUGCGACAAGGGACAAAACAAGGAUCAAGUGAAGUGUUGAUGUGUCCAACCUCACAACUGCUCUGGUUGGCUGUCUUGAAUGGUUACUUGUUGAUGACUGGAAUUCUGAAUCUAGGAGGACAAAUAAAGUUCUGAAGAUCGAAAAAUG